UACGUAGGGCGCAAGCGUUGUCCGGAAUUAUUGGGCGUAAAGAGCUCGUAGGCGGUUUGUCGCGUCUGCUGUGAAAACCUAAGGCUCAACCUUGGGCUUGCAGUGGGUACGGGCAGACUAGAGUGCGGUAGGGGUGUCUGGAAUUCCUGGUGUAGCGGUGGAAUGCGCAGAUAUCAGGAGGAACACCGAUGGCGAAGGCAGGUCACUGGGCCGCAACUGACGCUGAGGCGCGAAAGCUUGGGGAGCAAACAGG
rnacentral:rRNA from 1 species